rnacentral:rRNA from 1 species
CAGUCGCCGCGGGAAUACGAAGGGGGCUAGCGUUGUUCGGAAUUACUGGGCGUAAAGCGCACGUAGGCGGAUAUUUAAGUCAGGGGUGAAAUCCCGCAGCUCAACUGCGGAACUGCCUUUGAUACUGGGUAUCUUGAGUAUGGAAGAGGUUAGUGGAAUUGCGAGUGUAGAGGUGAAAUUCGUAGAUAUUCGCAGGAACACCAGUGGCGAAGGCGGCUAACUGGUCCAUAACUGACGCUGAGGUGCGAGAGCGUGGGGAGCAAACAGGAUUAGAUACCCGAGUAGUCCCUGUCUCUUAUAA